rnacentral:lncRNA from 1 species
GUCCUGUGCCCGCUUACAGGGUCACAGGAUCAUCCCGCAUAGACUGGUGAUCAGAAGUGUAGACGCCUCUCCCAAAACAGCAGACUUCCAUGAACUCCCAAGGGCACCAGGGACGGUGUGCAGGCCUCUGUAGGGUCACAGGGGUGACCUCAUCCUGCCCCUGUGGUUGGUGAUGAGCUGAGAUGGAGGUAGCCCUGGGCCAGGAAGUGAAGGCCAGAACUGAAAGCAGCCGUCCACAGCACACCAGUCGGGAAGAGAGAAACCAGUGCAGAGUGCUGGGGUCACAGGCCAAUUGGGCCGCCAUGGUUGGCUUUCUUUGCUCUUAUACAAUCCAGGGCCUCAGACCAGGGAAUGGCACCUCUCACUUUGAGGUGAGUCCUCCCACAUCCAUUAACACAGUCAGACAAUCCCCCACAGACACUCCAGAGGCCAUGCUGCUGCCCUCAACAGUCACUCAGAGACUCACUUCCCGGGUGAUUUUUCAGGGUGUGUGAAGUUGAGACAUUAAUCAUCACACUGGAGGAUUCUAGGUGGUUCUCUACCUCCAAAGUCGGCCUUCCCUGUUUGAAGUGAGUCCUCCAUACACACUUCCCAGGCCCCAAAUCAUGGGUUCUACCAACUAUGCCCAAUAUACGCAUGAGGGACUGGAGAUGAACCUGCAUCUUCACGCCACCUUAAAAGCUGGCUUGGCCCUCUGUCUAUAACCCCAGCGCAGAAGGGCAGAGACAGGAGGAUCACUGGAACUGGCUGGCAGCCGGCCUAGCUCUGGGUUCAGCAAGAAACCCUGCCUCAGGGAACAGGUGGAGAUGUGGACAUCCCUUGUUUUCUUAGGGGCCAGGGAGGGGGUCGGAAACACACAUAUGCACCGACCCACACAACAUACAGUGGAGAAAGUGCCUGCUUUUUGAGGAAUGAGGGCCUGGGUUCAGAUGCCUGGCAUCAAGGUCAAAAGCCAAGUGUGACAACUCGUGCCCAAACCCUAGCACUGGGGUGGACGUGGUGGUGGUGAAGGAGGGGUGUCUACGCUCACCAGCCAGGCAGAGCACAGAAAUGGUGUGCUCUAGGCUCAGUGAAAGACCCUGGCUCGAAAGAAAGAAAGAAAGAAAGAAAGAAAGAAAGAAAGAA